rnacentral:rRNA from 1 species
UACGUAGGGGGCGAGCGUUGUCCGGAAUCAUUGGGCGUAAAGCGCGUGUAGGCGGCCCGGUAAGUCCGCUGUGAAAGUCCAGGGCUCAACCCUGGGAUGCCGGUGGAUACUGUCGGGCUCGAGUCCGGAAGAGGCGAGUGGAAUUCCUGGUGUAGCGGUGAAAUGCGCAGAUAAUCAGGAGGAACACCAAUGGCGAAGGCAGCUCGCUGGGACGUGACUGACGCUGAGACGCGAAAGCGUGGGGAGCAAACAGG